CCCCCACACUUGGAAAUUGAGACACGGUCCUGACUCCUACGGGAGGCAGCAGUGUGGAAUAUUGGUCAAUGGGCGCAAGCCUGAACCAGCCAAGUCGCGCGAGAGAAGACGGCCCUACGGGUUGUAAACCUCUUUUGCCGGGGAGCAAGCCUGAGCACGUGUGCCCAGGCGGAGAAAACCCGGAGAAAAAGCCUCGGCUAACUCCGUGCCAGCAGCCGCGGUAAUACGGAGGAUGCGAGCGUUAUCCGGAUUUAUUGGGUUUAAAGGGUGCGCAGGCGGGCUGUUAAGCCGGCGGUAAAAAUUCAGGGCUCAACCCAGUCGAGCCGUCGGAACUGGCAGUCUUGAGUGGGCGAGAAGUAUGCGGAAUGCGUGGUGUAGCGGUGAAAUGCAUAGAUAUCACGCAGAACGCCGAUUGCGAAGGCAGCAUACCGGCGCCCGACUGACGCUGAGGCACGAAAGCGUGGGGAUCGAACAGGAUUAGAUACCCUGGUAGUCCACGCAGUAAACGAUGAGCGCUAACUGUCCGGAGCGAGCGAGCUCUGGGUGGUACAGUGAAAACGUUAAGCGCUCCACCUGGGGAGUACGCCGGCAACGGUGAAACUCAAAGGAAUUGACGGGGGCCCGCACAAGCGGAGGAACAUGUGGUUUAAUUCGAUGAUACGCGAGGAACCUUACCCGGGCUCAAACGUAAGCGGAAUAACGGUGAAAGCCGUUAGCUAUUUAUAGCCGCUUACGAGGUGCUGCAUGGUUGUCGUCAGCUCGUGCCGUGAGGUGUCGGCUUAAGUGCCAUAACGAGCGCAACCCCCAUCGCCAGUUGCUAACAAGUAACGUUGAGGACUCUGGCGAGACUGCCGGCGCAAGCUGCGAGGAAGGCGGGGAUGACGUCAAAUCAGCACGGCCCUUACGUCCGGGGCGACACACGUGUUACAAUGGCAGGUACAGAGAGAAGCCAUCCCGCGAGGGAGAGCGGAACUUUAAAGCCUGUCUCAGUUCGGAUUGGAGUCUGCAACCCGACUCCAUGAAGCUGGAUUCGCUAGUAAUCGCG
rnacentral:rRNA from 1 species